AGCCGCUUUCUCCCCCGUUGCCCCCCAUUUCAAUGCUGAAUUUUCGACAGAGCGGCCCCCCCUCCCGUCUGCACCGACACAUGACGGCAGCAGCGAGCGGCUUCCGGAGCCGCUCCGCCCCCCCCACCUCCACCACCUGCAGUACCGCCGUUCGGACGCACGGUGGCAGCACACGCUCCCUUUUUCUGUGCCGCAGGGGAAACGGGCUCCGGAGCUGCUGCUCCGCGCCCGGCUUCAGUCCUCCGUGGAAUGCUCCUCGGAGCGGUGCUUUUGGUUUUGCAAACGCCGCAGGCAUCACCUGCACACACAGAGCUCCUGCCCUCGCUUGGCCACCUGAAAUUCAGAGGGAGCUCUGCACACGGCCUCUCCGGUGCCCGAUCUCUGGAUCUCUCUCUAAGAGAUGGGGCUGUUCUCUGGAUAAAGCACGCCGGGGUUUGCUCUGUUGAAGAGCCCUUUUCUCCCUGGAUCUCCUCCUGGGCUGCAGCCAUCAGCCAAAACGGAAAGCACUGCUCAUCCUACCUCUUUUACCCCAGCUUUGGAGUCUUGCGGCGUUUUGUGCUGUUGUGCUGGGAUGUUUGCUGUAAUGUAAUCAGCUGAGUGCGGAGCAUCAGGACCUCUCAAUGCUUCCCAUCACAGCACACGGAGCGCGAGCGUCCAGCCCGGCUCCCACAGUUGGGGAGCCGCUACGGAAAGCUGGUGCUGGGCAUCCCCUACACACGGAGGCACCCGGAGCGGUGCCACCAGUAUGCCGAGCAAGCCUGGGCAGCUCCCACCCGUAAGCACCAAAGAGUCCUCCUCAGCCUCGGGUCUGAGUCAGCUCCCCGGGCAUGGGGCAUUCUGUGCUGCAGGGAACAGAGCGUGCGGGCAACACGGGUCCUGCAUGGACACCUCGUUGCUGCUCUCGUCUGCGUGCGAUCAUCCAGGGUGAGACCAGGGGACAUACUGGGAAGACUGCUUGGGAUGCCUUCCGUCUUCUCCCUGCGUACCAGGAACUCGAUCAUCUGACGCUCCUCCAGAUGGACCUCCUUUCCAGCUGAACUCAAUCACCACUGCACUGAUUUCAGGCCUUGUCCACCUAGGAGUCACAAACGUUUUCUUUUUCGUAUGUUCCUUAACUCUUCUGUGCAGAAAGUGGCAUGACAGUUCAGUCUUGAGUGGCAUCUGAAACGCAGGUUUCAGCUGAAACCGGUGAUUUACUUGCACUUUUUCUGUGGGGCUUUCUUGUCCAUGAAAUAUGAUUCCAUUAAAAAAUGUUGACACAA